CCUACGGGAGGCAGCAGUGAGGAAUAUUUGUCAAUGGACGAGAGUCUGAACCAGCCAAGUAGCGUGAAGGAUGACUGCCCUAUGUGUUGUCAACUUCUUUUAUAUGGGAAUAAAAUGUUCCACGUGUGGGAUUUUGUAUGUACCAUAUGAAUAAGGAUCGGCUAACUCCGUUCCAUCAGCCGCGGUAAUACUGAGGAUCCGAGCGUUAUCCGGAUUUAUUGGGUUUAAGGGGAGCGUAGGUGGAUUGUUAAGUCAGUUGUGAAAGUUUGCGGCUCAACCGUAAAAUUGCAGUUGAAACUGGCAGUCUUGAGUACAGUAGAGGUGGGCGGAAUUCGUGGUGUAGCGGUGAAAUGCUUAGAUAUCACGAAGAACUCCGAUUGCGAAGGCAGCUCACUGGACUGCAACUGACACUGAGGCUCGAAAGUGUGGGUAUCAAACAGGAUUAGAGACCCCUGUAGUC
rnacentral:rRNA from 1 species